AAGGAUCAUUAUUGAAAUAAACCUGAUGGGUUGUUGCUGGUUCUCUAGGGAGCAUGUGCACACCUUGUCAUCUUUAUAUCUCCACCUGUGCACUUUUUGUAGACCUUUCAGGUCUAUGUUGCUUCAUUUACCCCAAUGUAUGUUAAUAGAAUGUUGUGCCUAUAUAAUAUAUACAACUUUCAGCAACGGAUCUCUUGGCUCUC
rnacentral:misc_RNA from 1 species